rnacentral:misc_RNA from 1 species
CAACCCUCAAGCUCUGCUUGGUGUUGGGCCCCGCCGCCCCGGCGGGCCCUAAAGUCAGUGGCGGUGCCGUCCGGCUCCGAGCGUAGUAAUUUUUCUCGCUUUGGAGGCCCGGGCGCGUGCUCGCCAUCAACCCCCAAUUUUUUCAGG